CACCCGCCGGGAACCCUCGCGCCGCGCGUGGGCGAGCGGCGGGCACCCGGCGGCAUCCGCGCCAGCGGCCACCUCCCCGGCCCGCAACCGGCCUCAGGGGCCGAGAUUGCGGCCCGAGGUCCGGAAGCGGCGUCCAGCGCUGUCAGCGGGCGGAGUUCCUGUUUUAGUUGGCUUCUCUUCAUUGGAAGAAACAGAUUCACUCAAGUGACUUCAAGAAGAAUAGAGUUUAUUAUGAGGAUGCAGGUAAAAGAGCAUUUGUGGGGCCGGGCUCGGUGUCUCACACCUGUAAUCCCAGCACUUUGGGAGGCCAAGGCAGGUGGAUCACAAGGUCAGGAGUUCAAGACC
rnacentral:lncRNA from 1 species